CUUCAAAUCUUUUCUGAACAUACAAACCUCAUUCAGAAAAUCUCUGACAUCCUUCAGAUUGUGAAUUUAUACCGGCCCAUGUUCCCGAAAUAUCGCAUGCUUCAUAUCAAUAUUCACCCUGAUGUUGUUCAUACCAUUGAGGAUUCCCUUCACUUAUUUUCUGCACUAGAAACUUGA